rnacentral:rRNA from 1 species
UAGUCCACGUCGUAAACGAUGAUUACUCGGUGCUGGCAAUAUACAGUCAGUGCCCAAGCGAAAGUGAUAAGUAAUCCACCUGGGGAGUACGAUCGCAAGGUUGAAACUCAAAGGAAUUGACGGGGGCCCGCACAAGCGGUGGAGCAUGUGGUUUAAUUCGAUGAUACGCGAGGAACCUUACCUGGGCUUAAAUGCAUAAUGAUUGGUCGAGAAAUCGAUCGUUCUUCGGACAGAAUGCAAGGUGCUGCAUGGCUGUCGUCAGCUCGUGCUGUGAGGUGUCGGGUUAAGUCCCAUAACGAGCGCAACCCCUAUUUCUAGUUGCCAGCACAUAAUGGUGGGGACUCUAGAGAAACUGCCCGCGCAAGCGGAGAGGAAGGUGGGGACGACGUCAAGUCAUCACGGCCCUUACGUCCAGGGCUACACACGUGCUACAAUGGUAGAGACAGAGGGCAGCCACUUGGUGACAAGGAGCUAAUCCUAAAACUCUAUCU